AUACGGAGGAUCCGAGCGUUAUCCGGAUUUAUUGGGUUCAAAGGGUGCGCAGGCGGCCAUUUAAGUCAGCGGUUAAAUCGUGGGGCUCAACCCCAUUCUGCCGUUGAUACUGGGUGGCUUGAUUGCGGUCGAGGUUGGCGGAAUUCGUUGUGUAGCGGGGAAAUGCAUAGAUAUGACGAAGAACACCGAUUGCGUAGGCAGCUGACCAGACCGCAAAUGACGCUCAUGCACGAAAGUGCGGGGAUCGAACAGGAUUAGAUACCCUGGUAGUCCGCACAGUAAACGAUGAAUACUUGUUUUCGGCGAUAUAAUGUCGGAGGCAAAGCGAAAGCGAUAAGUAUUCCACCUGGGGAGUACGCCGGCAACGGUGAAACUCAAAUGAAUUGGCGGGG
rnacentral:rRNA from 1 species